CACGUAGGCACCAAGCGUUGUCCGGAUUUAUUGGGCGUAAAGAGCUCGUAGGCGGCUCGGUAAGUCGGGUGUGAAACCUCCAGGCUCAACCUGGAGACGCCACCUGAUACUGCUGUGGCUAGAGUCCGGUAGGGGAGUGUGGAACUCCUGGUGUAGCGGUGAAAUGCGCAGAUAUCAGGAGGAACACCGGUGGCGAAGGCGGGUCUCUGGGCCGAUACUGACGCUGAGGAGCGAAAGCGUGGGGAGCGAACAGG
rnacentral:rRNA from 1 species